AGGGGACCCCAGCCUGCUCCCUAUACCACCUCCCCCUCCUUGAGGUCCAGGGAAAGCUCAGACACCCAGAGCUGAAAUUUGCAUGCCCCUAUUCAACAGCUGAUCUAUCCUUUCUGCACGUGUACGCAUCUUACGGAUCUCAGCUUCCCAGAACUGAGAAAACGAUCAGCCUACCAGCAUAUCCAGGACAGAUGGAAGCAUUUCAAAGAAACUAUGUGGAGACAUCAUUCAUUUGGCUACAAGAUCCAUGCAAGAUGCCUCAGUUGAACGUGAAGAGGCAAAUCCUGGAGGUGGACAACAGAG